rnacentral:guide_RNA from 1 species
AAAUCACAAACGAAUAAGGGACAAAAGAGAUGUAUGAU